UACAUUUUCAUUUAGCGAACGGCCUUGCACGUUUUUUGCAUCGUCUUCAUUAAAAACAGUAACGCUCACAUUGUUUUCAUCAAGUAAAGUUGUUACUUCGUCAAUUUCACUGCCCGAGUCGUCAUAAUUUCUGCCUUCACUGCGUUGGUCGGAAUUCUCAAAUUCAAAGUAACUUGUAUUCGAUUCGGUGUCUGACUCGCUGCCAUUGGACACAGUUGUGUCUUCGAGUUUAUUUAAAAAUGUUGUGGUUUGUCGUCCACUUUUAGUAGUAUAUCUUGACACUCUUCCCCAAGAAUUGCCUGCUAAUGUUUUGAUGGAUCAUUUCCCAUCUUUUGGAUUUGUCUCUGGAAGAUUUUCUCCUCAAUACUCCCAGAGGUCUCUUCUGCCUUCCUCUCCAGACCCUAGCAAGUGACUGAGCAUCACUUGCUGGAUUCCAGUCCAAGUCGAAAAGAAUCACUCGAGAGGCGCCGUCCAGAUUCAAGCCGGUACCACCAGCUUUGGCACUAAGAAGCAUAACAACUAGAAUGAAAAAAUAAUAUAAUACAAAACUUAUAAAUUUUGAAAAAAAUUUACAUGUUUUUGAAUUGGGAUUGUUAAAAUCAGUCACAAUUUUCAUCCUGUCUUUUGAAGGCACUUGCCCAUCAAUCUUGCUGAAUGUAAAGUUUUUCUGCUCACACAGCUUCUGGAGAAUUUUCAGAGUCUGCAAAUAAUCAAGAAAUAUAAAUGUGAACUGAUAAAAAAGGGUUCAAUUCAAUGUGUACCUCAACAAAGUACGAUACCACCAGCACUCGGUCAAUCUGACUUCUAUGGCCUGCAGCAAUCUUCUCCUUGUUAGCCUCAUGCAGAAACUCAAGGAUCGAAGCAACAACUUUGAGUUUCCCUGACAUAUCGACAAAGUCAAAGUGAUGUCCUCCUGACUGGAGCUCCUGUUGUAACUGCCUCCUCAAUUUACCCUGUCAAUUUCAGUUUCAUAAAAAAAUAUUCUUUGAAAUAAAAUAUCAAAGUAACCUCUUCGUUUUCCAAGUCUUCUGGUCGGAGUUUCAUAAGUUGCGGAUGACUGCAAAUUUGCCUAAGGCUAAUGAUGGCUCCCAACGCGUUUUUGUUUGCUGUUGAUAUGUCCAUUUCUUUCCAGACCUCGUCAUCGCCCCAGUAAAAACUGAGAGUUGAGCGAUACAAAUCCUCCUUUAACAAAAAUCAACACCAAAAUUGUAAGCUAAUUAAAAUGUAAAUUUAAUUUUGAUAACUACACCUGCAACGGACUGGCAGCACAGUAAAGAAUGAGAUCCUGUUUUGGUGGCAAGUACUGCAGAUUGAGUUCUGCAGGGCGGCCAAGCACAAAAGGUGAAGUCAGUCUCAAAAGCUCUUCUUUCCUGUCUUUGCCUAAUUCUUUUUCCUCGUCUUUGCAGUCAGCAAGGUUGCCUCUCUCGAUGGGAGUUGCAAACUGAGUCAUGAAAUCUAAAUUUAUACCAAUGAAUAAAAAUUAUACAUGAUUAUUCAUCAGAAAAUACCUCGUCGAGUUCCAAAAAUCCCAGGAUUUGCAAAAUCCAAGAGCUCAAAAUAUUCCAUCAUGUUGUUUUGACACGGACUGCCGCUUAAGAGGAUUUUGCGUUUGCACUGCAAGCGCCGCAGUUCCUUAAAAAGAUUUAUUGCUCAUCGCCUGUCAUCCCCAUGAGACACUCGUACAUGAACCUUACUCCCUCUUUUUGAUGAGGACGUAAGUGCCGUGCCAAAAAUCCAUCAACUGUCACUGUGUUAACUGGGCGCCCUUCGGGAUUAAAUAUCAACUGGAAAGAAAUAAAAUAGGCCGGGUAAGAUUUUUUUUUAAUAAUAAAUUAUCAUAUCUUUUUGAAGGAAUAUAAUUUAUUCACAAUCCUCAUUUUCUUCUACCUGGUGUUUUGGGCUUGGCUUGGGCAUUUCUAGGUACCAUUCUUCAUUCACGUCAUUUUCUCUGCUUAGUUGAAACCUUUUUCGAUUGGGCUGAGCGAAGGUUGAAUCUGGCUUUCUCUUCUCCGCCUCGACAACCACUUUGCUGACAAGUCCCAGAAACUAAAUAUCUCAUUGUCAAUUAACAAAAUCUAACUUUUGAUAAAGUUUUGUACCUCAACUUCCUUUCCACCGAUUACGAGUUGAGUACCCUCUUCAAGUACAAUGUCAUCUUUCACUUUAGAAAUUCUGCCCAUCUCUUUACCAUUCUCGUCCUUUACAAAUAAAAAUUUAAUGUAUUUUAUUAUAA